rnacentral:rRNA from 1 species
CGCCUCCUGUAUAACUCAUAAGAGGUCCAGCCUGCCCAGUGACCCUGUUCAACGGCCGCGGUAUCCUAACCGUGCGAAGGUAGCGUAAUCACUUGUUCUCUAAUUGUGGACUAGUAUGAACGGCACCACGAAGGUUAUACUGUCUCCUUUUUCUAAUCAGUGAAACUAAUCUCCCCGUGAAGAAGCGGGGAUAAAAAUAUAAGACGAGAAGACCCUAUGGAGCUUUAAACAGCAUAGCAAUUGUUACAUUAACAUAAACUUUUCUGAAUGAUUAAAAUUUUAUUAAACAAUUUGACUAUGAGUUUUUGGUUGGGGUGACCGCGGAGCAUAACACAACCUCCAUGCUGAAAGAACCUUCUUCUAAGCUAAGAACUACCCAUCUAAGCAUCAACACAUUGACAUUCAUUGACCCAAUACACUUGAUCAACGAACCAAGUUACCCUAGGGAUAACAGCGCAAUCCACUUCAAGAGCUCCUAUCGACAAGUGGGUUUACGACCUCGAUGUUGGAUCAGGGUAUCCCAGUGGUGCAGCCGCUACUAAAGGUUCGUUUGUUCAACGAUUAAAACCCUACG